rnacentral:rRNA from 1 species
CCUACGGGUGGCAGCAGUGAGGAAUAUUGGUCAAUGGUCGGGAGACUGAACCAGCCAAGCCGCGUGAGGGAUGAAGGUACAGAGUAUCGUAAACCUCUUUUGUCAGGGAACAAAGGCGUGGACGUGUCCCCGGAUGAGUGUACCUGAAGAAAAAGCAUCGGCUAACUCCGUGCCAGCAGCCGCGGUAAUACGGAGGAUGCGAGCUUUAGCCGGUUUUAUUGGGUUUAAAGGGUGCGCAGGCGGUCUGUUAAGUCAGCGGUAAAAGGCCGGGGCUCAACCCGGGACCGCCGUUGAAACUGGCAGUCUUGAGUGGGAGAGAGGCAUGCGGAAUGCGCGGUGUAGCGGUGAAAUGCAUAGAUAGCGCGAAGAACUCCGAGUGCGAAGGCAGCAUGCCGGAUACACACUGACGCUGAGGCACGAAAGCGUGGGUAUCGAACAGGAUUAGAUACCCUAGUAGUC